rnacentral:RNase_P_RNA from 1 species
CGAGUCGGUCAGGCGAUCGCUCCCAACCAUCUCUCGAGCUGGUUGGGGGAGGAAAGUCCGGGCUCCGCAGGGCAGAGUGCCAGGUAACGCCUGGGGGGCGCGAGCCUACGGAAAGUGCAACAGAAAGGAAACCGCCCGGCCACUCCCGAGUGGCCGGGUAAGGGUGAAAAGGUGCGGUAAGAGCGCACCGCGCGGCUGGUAACAGGCGUGGCGAUGGUAAACCCCACUCGGAGCAAGACCAAAUAGGAAUCCGUCAGCUGUGGCCCGCAGUGGAUUCGGGUAGGUCGCUACAGGCAGGUGGUGACACCUGUCGCAGAUGAAUGAUCG